rnacentral:rRNA from 2 species
GUUGGCCUCGGAUCAGGUGGGGAUA